ACGAACGCUGGCGGCGUGUUUAACACAUGCAAGUCGAACGGAAAGGCCCUGCUUUUGUGGGGUGCUCGAGUGGCGAACGGGUGAGUAACACGUGAGUAACCUGCCCUUGACUUUGGGAUAACUUCAGGAAACUGGGGCUAAUACCGGAUAGGAGCUCCUGCUGCAUGGUGGGGGUUGGAAAGUUUCGGCGGUUGGGGAUGGACUCGCGGCUUAUCAGCUUGUUGGUGGGGUAGUGGCUUACCAAGGCUUUGACGGGUAGCCGGCCUGAGAGGGUGACCGGCCACAUUGGGACUGAGAUACGGCCCAGACUCCUACGGGAGGCAGCAGUGGGGAAUAUUGCACAAUGGGCGGAAGCCUGAUGCAGCAACGCCGCGUGCGGGAUGACGGCCUUCGGGUUGUAAACCGCUUUCGCCUGUGACGAAGCGUGAGUGACGGUAAUGGGUAAAGAAGCACCGGCUAACUACGUG
rnacentral:rRNA from 1 species